AGAAUCAACGCUGGCGGCGUGCCUAACACAUGCAAGUCGAGCGCGAAAGGGGAGCAAUCCCCAAGUAGAGCGGCGGACGGGUGAGUAACGCGUGGGUAAUCUACCUCCGAGUGGGGAAUAACAGCGGGAAACUGCUGCUAAUACCGCAUGACAUCGUCGAGCCUUCGGGCAUGACGAUCAAAGCCGGGGACCGCAAGGCCUGGCGCUUGGAGAGGAGCCCGCGCCCGAUUAGCUAGUUGGCGGGUAAUGGCCCACCAAGGCUCCGAUCGGUA
rnacentral:rRNA from 1 species